GGUCUCCGCUCUUGUAAGUAUUUACUAUCACGCCCCCGUACCGUAACGUCUCCUCGGCGUCAGCAGCUCAACUCCAUGACGAUGGUGGUCAUGCUACGCCGCCUUGCUCUUUCCUGCUACCUCGCCGCCGCCCUUCUCCUCCUCGUGUUCCUCGACGCGCCGCUCACGGCCGCGCAGCCGCUGCCGUGGCAGCUGUGCAACGCCACCGCGGGGAACUACACGGAGGGCAGCGACUACCAGGCCAACAUACGCGUCCUCGCCAGCGCCUUCCCCAAGAACGCCUCCGCGUCCCCGGCCCUCUUCGCCAAGGGCUCUGUCGGCACGGCGCCGGACGUCGUCUACGCGCUUGCCCUCUGCCGCGGCGACACCAACGCCUCCUCCUGCGCGGCAUGCGUCACCACCGCCUUCCGGAACGCGCAGCAGCUCUGCGCCUUAAACAAGCGUGCCACCAUGUUCGACGACCCCUGCACCCUCCGCUACUCCGACCAGGACUUCCUGGCCAACGUCACCGACAACAGGGGGAGGUCGGGCGCAUUCAAUCCCAACAACGUCAGUGCGGCGUCCGCGGCGGCCUUCGACGCUGCCUCCGGCCGGCUCGUCAACGACACCGCCGACUACGCGGCGGCGGACUCAAGCCGGCGAUUCGGCACGGGGGAGGUGGGGUUCGACCAGACUUACCCCAAGAUUUACUCCCUGGCGCAGUGCACGCCGGACAUGUCGGCGGCUCAAUGCCGGAGCUGCCUCAGGGACAUCAUUGUCCAGUAUACUCCUCGAUAUUUCCUCGGAAAGCCGGGCGGGAGAAUAUUGGGCGUGCGGUGCAGCUUCCGGUUCGAGACGUACUCAUUCUUCGCUGGACGCCCACUGCUGCAACUCCCGGGCGCGCUGUCUCCUGCACCGGCGCCAGAGGCCACCACAGGAGAAGGCAAAAGAAGACAUAGGACAGGAUUGGUCUUGGCCAUUACACUGCCUACCGCUGCUGCACUAGUAUUUCUGAUUUCAGCGUGCGUUUGCUUUUGGAGGAGGAGCAAACUGGCAGCAGAAAGAAGAAAGCCGGCAGUACCAUUUGCAACAGAUUCAACUAAUCAGGAUGACAUCCAAAGCAUCGAUUGCCUCCUUCUUGACUUAUCGACCCUGCGGGCUGCUACAAAUAACUUCGCUGAAAGCAACAAGCUUGGCGAAGGAGGGUUCGGUGCGGUUUACAAGGGUGUCCUUUCUGAAGGUGGCCAGGAAAUAGCAGUGAAGAGGCUCUCGCAGAGCUCCAUGCAAGGAAUAGAAGAGCUGAAAACGGAGCUAGUUCUAGUCGCCAAGCUUCAGCACAAGAAUCUCGUCAGGCUCGUUGGUGUUUGCUUGGAGGAAACGGAGAAACUACUCGUGUAUGAAUACAUGCCGAACCGGAGCCUCGACACUGUUCUCUUCGAUGCCGAGAAUAGGGGAGACCUGGACUGGGGGAAGAGGCUGAAGAUCGUGAACGGGGUUGCUCGGGGCUUGCAGUACCUUCACGAAGACUCACAGCCAAGGAUCAUCCACCGGGACCUCAAAGCGAGCAACGUGCUGCUGGACUCGGAUUGGAACCCUAAAAUUUCAGACUUCGGUUUGGCGAAACUGUUCGGUUGGGACCAGUCGCAGGCCGUCACCAGCCACAUCGCUGGAACAUAUGGAUACAUGUCGCCGGAGUACGCGAUGCGCGGGCAGUAUUCGGUCAAGUCGGACGCCUACAGUUUCGGCGUUCUGGUCUUGGAGAUUAUCACGGGAAGGAAGAAUAGCAGCUUUGCCAACUCGGAGCAAUCCAUUGACCUCUCAAGCCUCGUAUGGGAGCACUGGACCAAGGGAACGGUCGAGGAGCUGCUGGAUCCGUCCUUGGGAGGCCGUUCUCCGGGAGACCAUUUGCUGAAGCUGAUUAAUAUUGGGCUGCUGUGUGUCCAAGACAACCCGGCGGACAGGCCGACCAUGUCGACAGUCAACGUCAUGCUCAGCAGCAACACAGUAUCUCUUCAGGCGCCGUCCAGGCCAACAUUCUGCAUCGACGAGAUGGAGGGUUUCUCGGGCAUGUACUCUACCGAGGGUAGCAAGCCCGAGGGGGUGUCAGUGAACGAGGUGUCACUCACGGAGCUCGAACCUAGAUGAUAUGAGGGCGUGAAAUUGAUUUCACUAUUAUUCCCUGUGCCUGGAUUCAUAGUUUAUCGCCUUUAAUUAACUGGCUAUAACUCUCCACGGGGAGAAAAUGGCGAAGUAUCAAAUGUGUGCUGGACCUGGUGGGGAAGCAUAUCCAUCAAUGGAAAAUCCUGUGUGUGGACUCCCAAGUUGUGCUACUCCUCCAAUGCUUGAAGCUGCUCGACCAUCAUCGCGGGGAGUUGCUUAGGAUUGCGUGGCGUGUAGAUGGCCCUUGAGGGAUUAUAUAGCUCGUUGCUGCUUUGCUUUUCCCUGUAGGGGCCUGAGACUCAGUUCUGUUUUAUGUCAGACAUUUUAUUGUAAUAAUUCUGCUGCGGCUACUUUCUGGCCGGAGCCGAGAGCUGUUAAACAGUCUGCUGUGGUUACCUUUGCUUUUUCAAUAAAAAGUUAGGACGGGGAGCAGCCCCUUUCAUUUCAAAAAA
rnacentral:rRNA from 1 species